ACAUCUCAACUCUCAUGGCUUGCCAUGAUGAGCUUGGACUCUGGGGGCCUUGCUGGCCUAUGGUCUGCUCCCCUCAAAUGUAUCAGCCUCCCAGUGUUUGGCGGCAUCGCAGGUGUGAUAACUAUCUACGCUUGCUAUUGCCCGUCAUAUAACCCCCAGUCAUGGAGGUUCGCUGGAGCUCAUAAAUGUCUCUCUUCAGUGAGGACAACUUUGUGAAC
rnacentral:misc_RNA from 1 species